GGAAUGGAAUGGAAUGGAGUGGAGUGGAGUGGAGUGGAGUGGAGUGGAGUGGAAUGGAAUGGAAAUGGAGGUAGGAACCUACAAAGGUUGCUCACAUAGAGGUCAUAGACCUCCUCCUCCUCGUCAUCACAA
rnacentral:miRNA from 1 species